rnacentral:lncRNA from 1 species
AAAUUUAGGAACAGGAAGAACUGGGGAGAGUUUAAUAUUGGAAGUACUGUUAAUAGAACCUGUGCCAGCAAUUGGUACUAAGGAGCCAUCUACAAUGCAAUUUUGUCUGUGUCUUGAUAUUUAGAAUAUGUGAGGAAAUGUUUUAUAGAGCCUAUUGUAUGUUUAUUUGCUCCUGAAUCUAUAACCCAAGAGGGUUUUGCAAUUUUUGCAAGAAAGGUAAGGAAAGCAUUGCCUGAAUUAACAAAAUUAGAGGCUGCAGUCUGAGUUGAGGACGAAUCAAGUUGUGACAACAAUCAUUUCAGGGACUGAAUCUCCUUAUCAGAAAAGCUUCCAGCAAUAGAUGGUUCCUCAGAUAAAGCUCCACUAUCAAAUACGUGUGCCUGUGGUCUAGAAGAACUGACCUGCUUUCCUCCAAGCCCUUUAGUUGGGCGUCCAUGUAAUUUCCAACAGACCUUCUGAGUGUGCCUUUUCUUACCGCAAUAGUCACAAAAUAAUUGAUUUUAUCUGAAAAACUGCUCUUUGCAGCUUGAAAAUGUUCUCUUGCAGAAUUAGCAAUCAACCCUGCUUUGUCAAUGGUAAAUAUGUGAACCAUAU